AGUGAAUAGAUACCCGGGUAGUCCACGCUGUAAACGAUGAGUGCUGGACGUUGGCGGGUUUACCUGCCGGUGUCGCAGCUAAACGCGUUAAGCACUCCGCCUGGGGAGUACGGCCGCAAGGUUAAAACUCAAAGGAAUUGACGGGGGCCCGCACAAGCGGUGGGGCAUGUGGUUUAAUUCGACGCAACGCGCAGAACCUUACCAGCCCUUGACAUGGGCGGACGGGGUCCAGAGAUGGACUCUUUCUCGCAAGAGACCGCUACACAGGUGCUGCAUGGCUGUCGUCAGCUCGUGUCGUGAGAU
rnacentral:rRNA from 1 species